rnacentral:rRNA from 1 species
ACCCGCUGAAUUUAAGCAUAUCAAUAAGCGGAGGAAAAGAAACCAACAGGGAUUGCCCUAGUAACGGCGAGUGAAGCGGCAACAGCUCAAAUUUGAAAUCUGGCUCUUUUGGAGUCCGAGUUGUAAUUUGCAGAGGGCGCUUUGGCUUUGGCAGCGGUCCAAGUUCCUUGGAACAGGACGUCACAGAGGGUGAGAAUCCCGUACGUGGUCGCUGGCUAUUGCCGUGUAAAGCCCCUUCGACGAGUCGAGUUGUUUGGGAAUGCAGCUCUAAAUGGGAGGUACAUUUCUUCUAAAGCUAAAUAUUGGCCAGAGACCAAUAGCGCACAAGUAGAGUGAUCGAAAGAUGAAAAGCACUUUGGAAAGAGAGUCAAACAGCACGUGAAAUUGUUGAGAGGGAAGCGCUUGCAGCCAGACUUGCUUACAGUUGCUCAUCCGGGUUUCUACCCGGUGCACUCUUCUGUAGGCAGGCCAGCAUCAGUUUGGGCGGUAGGAUAAAGGUCUCUGUCACGUACCUCCUUUCGGGGAGGCCUUAUAGGGGAGACGACAUACUACCAGCCUGGACUGAGGUCCGCGCAUCUGCUAGGAUGCUGGCGUAAUGGCUGUAAGCGGCCCGUCUUGAAACACGGACCAAGGAG